AUGCCGUCCGUCACCCUCAUCACUGCCGUUUGCGCCAGAUUCGUGAUGUGUCAGUCCGAUCUUCCUCCACCUGGCGCCGCAAUAACCAUCGAUCGCCCCAACGAUCUUCUUUCUGACCACCGCCUUCAGGUAGCACCGUCGUCGAUCUCCAAGCUAGCAGAUAAGGAAUGCUUUGUGUUGAAUAAGAUAGAAAGAAAAGAGUUUUCCAGAUGUAAAGAAAAGUCGUGUGUUUGCGUUGGAGAAAGAGGAAGGUACAUAUGCUUUUGA